rnacentral:hammerhead_ribozyme from 1 species
GUAUUACCGAAGAGUCCCAAACUAGGACGAAAUAGCUGUCCAGUAC